CCUACGGGAGGCAGCAGUGGGGAAUAUUGCACAAUGGGGGGAACCCUGAUGCAGCGACGCCGCGUGGGUGAAGGAGUAUUUCGGUAUGUACAGCCCUAUCAGCAGGGACGAACAAUGACGGUACCUGACUAAGAAGCACCGGCUAAAUACGUGCCAGCAGCCGCGGUCAUACGUAUGGUGCAAGCGUUAUCCGGAUUUACUGGGUGUAAAGGGAGCUCAGGCGGCGCGUUAAGCCUGGUGUGAAAGCGCGCGGCCCAACCGCGGGACUGCAUUGGGAACUGGCGCGCUGGAGUGCCGGAGGGGUAGGCGGAAUUCCUAGUGUAGCGGUGAAAUGCGUAGAUAUUAGGAGGAACACCAGUUGCGAAGGCGGACUACUGGACGGUGACUGACGCUGAGGCUCGAAAGCGUGGGGAGCAAACAGGAUUAGAUACACCUGUAGUC
rnacentral:rRNA from 1 species